rnacentral:rRNA from 1 species
GGUUAAGUGACUAAGCGUACACGGUGGAUGCCUUGGCAGUCAGAGGCGAUGAAAGACGUAGUAACUUGCGAUAAGCCCAGAUUAGGUAGUAACAACCAUUUGAGUCUGGGAUUUCUGAAUGGGGAAACCCACGUGCAUAAGCACGUAUCCUUACCUGAAUACAUAGGGUAAGGAGGCGAACCGGGGGAACUGAAACAUCUAAGUACCCCGAGGAAAAGAAAUCAACCGAGAUUCCGAAAGUAGCGGCGAGCGAAAUUGGACUAGCCCUUAAGCUUUACACGCGUUAGACGAACGGUCUGGAAAGUCCGACGAUACAGGGUGAUAGUCCCGUAGUUGACGACGUGUGUUCAGUGAAAUCGAGUAGGGCGGGACACGUGAUAUCCUGUCUGAAUAUGGGGGGACCAUCCUCCAAGGCUAAAUACUACUGACUGACCGAUAGUGAACCAGUACCGUGAGGGAAAGGCGAAAAGAACCCCUGUGAGGGGAGUGAAAUAGAACCUGAAACCGUGUACGUACAAGCAGUAGGAGCAGGCUUUGUCCUGUGACUGCGUACCUUUUGUAUAAUGGGUCAGCGACUUAUAUUCAGUGGCAAGGUUAACCAUCUAGGGGAGCCGUAGGGAAACCGAGUCUUAACUGGGCGUUCAGUCUCUGGAUAUAGACCCGAAACCAGGUGAUCUAGCCAUGGGCAGGUUGAAGGUUGAGUAACAUCAACUGGAGGACCGAACCGACUAAUGUUGAAAAAUUAGCGGAUGACUUGUGGCUAGGGGUGAAAGGCCAAUCAAACCUGGAGAUAGCUGGUUCUCCCCGAAAGCUAUUUAGGUAGCGCCUCGGACGAAUACUACUGGGGGUAGAGCACUGUUAAGGCUAGGGGGUCAUCCCGACUUACCAACCCUUUGCAAACUCCGAAUACCAGUAAGUACUAUCCGGGAGACACACGGCGGGUGCUAACGUCCGUCGUGGAGAGGGAAACAACCCAGACCGCCAGCUAAGGUCCCAAAUUACUACUAAGUGGGAAACGAUGUGGGAAGGCUCAGACAGCCAGGAUGUUGGCUUAGAAGCAGCCAUCAUUUAAAGAAAGCGUAAUAGCUCACUGGUCGAGUCGGCCUGCGCGGAAGAUGUAACGGGGCUAAGUAGUAAACCGAAGCUGCGGCAAUGUGCUUUUGCACAUUGGGUAGGGGAGCGUUCUGUAAGCGGUUGAAGGUGUGUGGUAACGCAUGCUGGACGUAUCAGAAGUGCGAAUGCUGACAUGAGUAACGAUAAAGGGGGUGAAAAACCUCCUCGCCGGAAGACCAAGGGUUCCUGUCCAACGUUAAUCGGGGCAGGGUAAGUCGACCCCUAAGGCGAGGCCGAAAGGCGUAGUCGAUGGGAAACGGGUUAAUAUUCCCGUACUUCUUACAAUUGCGAUGGGGGGACGGAGAAGGCUAGGUGGGCCUGGCGACGGUUGUCCAGGUUCAAGUGCGUAGGCUUAAGAGUUAGGUAAAUCCGGCUCUUUUUAAGGCUGAGACACGACGUCGAGCACCUACGGGUGUGAAGUCAUUGAUGCCAUGCUUCCAGGAAAAGCCUCUAAGCUUCAGAUUGUAAGGAAUCGUACCCCAAACCGACACAGGUGGUCGGGUAGAGAAUACCAAGGCGCUUGAGAGAACUCGGGUGAAGGAACUAGGCAAAAUGGUACCGUAACUUCGGGAGAAGGUACGUGGUGAAGUCCCUCGCGGAUGGAGCUGACGAGAGUCGCAGAUACCAGGUGGCUGCAACUAGAUACCAGGUGGCUGCAACUGUUUAUUAAAAACACAGCACUGUGCAAAAUCGUAAGAUGACGUAUACGGUGUGACGCCUGCCCGGUGCCGGAAGGUUAAUUGAUGGGGUUAGACUUCGGUCGAAGCUCUUGAUCGAAGCCCCGGUAAACGGCGGCCGUAACUAUAACGGUCCUAAGGUAGCGAAAUUCCUUGUCGGGUAAGUUCCGACCUGCACGAAUGGCGUAAUGAUGGCCACGCUGUCUCCACCCGAGACUCAGUGAAAUUGAAAUCGCUGUGAAGAUGCAGUGUACCCGCGGCUAGACGGAAAGACCCCGUGAACCUUUACUACAGCUUGGCACUGAACAUUGACCCUACAUGUGUAGGAUAGGUGGGAGGCUUUGAAGCACGUACGCCAGUAUGUGUGGAGCCGUCCUUGAAAUACCACCCUUGUAGUGUUGAUGUUCUAACGUCGACCCCUAAUCGGGGUUGCGGACAGUGCCUGGUGGGUAGUUUGACUGGGGCGGUCUCCUCCCAAAGAGUAACGGAGGAGCACGAAGGUGGGCUAAUCACGGUUGGACAUCGUGAGGUUAGUGCAAUGGCAUAAGCCCGCUUGACUGCGAGAAUGACAAUUCGAGCAGGUGCGAAAGCAGGUCAUAGUGAUCCGGUGGUUCUGAAUGGAAGGGCCAUCGCUCAACGGAUAAAAGGUACUCCGGGGAUAACAGGCUGAUACCGCCCAAGAGUUCAUAUCGACGGCGGUGUUUGGCACCUCGAUGUCGGCUCAUCACAUCCUGGGGCUGAAGUCGGUCCCAAGGGUAUGGCUGUUCGCCAUUUAAAGUGGUACGCGAGCUGGGUUUAGAACGUCGUGAGACAGUUCGGUCCCUAUCUGCCGUGGGCGUUGGAAGAUUGAAGGGGGCUGCUCCUAGUACGAGAGGACCGGAGUGGACGAACCUCUGGUGUUCGGGUUGUGUCGCCAGACGCAUUGCCCGGUAGCUAAGUUCGGAAUCGAUAACCGCUGAAAGCAUCUAAGCGGGAAGCGAGCCCUGAGAUGAGUCUUCCCUGAUACUUUAAGUAUCCUAAAGGGUUGUCGGAGACUACGACGUUGAUAGGUCAGGUGUGUAAGUGCUGUGAGGCAUUGAGCUAACUGAUACUAAUUGCCCGUGAGGCUUAACCAU